AACGAACGCUGGCGGCAGGCUUAACACAUGCAAGUCGAACGCAUCCUUCGGGGUGAGUGGCAGACGGGUGAGUAACGCGUGGGAACGUGCCCUUCAGUUCGGGAUAACCCAGGGAAACUUGGGCUAAUACCGGAUACGUGCGAGAGCAGAAAGAUUUAUCGCUGAAGGAUCGGCCCGCGUCUGAUUAGCUAGUUGGUGGGGUAAUGGCCCACCAAGGCGACGAUCAGUAGCUGGUCUGAGAGGAUGAUCAGCCACAUUGGGACUGAGACACGGCCCAAACUCCUACGGGAGGCAGCAGUGGGGAAUAUUGGACAAUGGGCGCAAGCCUGAUCCAGCCAUGCCGCGUGAGUGAUGAAGGCCUUAGGGUUGUAAAGCUCUUUCGUCCGGGACGAUAAUGACGGUACCGGAAGAAGAAGCCCCGGCUAACUUCGUGCCAGCAGCCGCCGCCGUAA
rnacentral:rRNA from 1 species